AUGCUGAGAUAUAUCCACGUCAAUAAUGCUGUUGGACGGAGGAGCAGCCUAAGUGAGUCUGUCAUGGCAAUUAUGGAGAAUGAGAGUGGCAGCGGCCGUGAUGAAAGGAGAGUCCUAGGAAUCAUGUCAACAACAUGGCGAGGCCCUGACUGUUGGUGCUCUGUGCCGAGUGCAGAUCUCCUCCUCUGUACUGCUCAGUGUCCUGGUGCCCACGGCCACGACCUUGUCGUUAGCCAAUUUCAUACAUUUGCAAAUGGCUCGAGGAGGCCGCCUCCUAUUCUAAUCAGCAGUCCUUUUGCUGUAAUCUUUCUUAUCAGUGUCAAUUUCCAAAGGAUGCACUUUAGUGUAUUUUCGCACACAGAUUCUACAUCACAGAAUUAAAGGCCUUCGAGGAACUACAUGCUAACAAGAUGCUACCAAAUAUCAACAUUAUGAGAAACUAAUGGCUGUGUUUGCUUUCACAUAGCCACCAUCAUGACAGGCUGAGAGAGUUUUCAGGCUCCACACUAUUAUAAUAGCUAGCAAGAAGACGGAAAUCUACUUGGACAUAACCAUUGAUUUUUCUUUCCUCUUCAUUCUGUUAAUAGGCCGUCCCUAUGGUUUCAGAGAUACAUCUUUUCUGGAAAUCAAUAUUUUUUCAAUGUGUUUUCCAGGGAAACGUGUAUCACUCAGCUUUGGUCCUGUAGAUACAUCACCUCAAUUAGUAUGAUUUAAUUUUGUCUGAUUAUCUAAAAUAGAUCUUUACCAGACUUAAUGGAAGCUUAUCAUACAUAGCUAAUAUAUGCUUUUUGAUAUGUUGUUAAUUGAUUAGCAUAAACUAUGUAACAAUGGAUAGCUUUGGUUACAAUGCUGCUAUAAUCUAAUCAUGAUCAUCACAACAUUUGCCAAAACAGGCCCUGAAGUAAUGUUUAAUUUUCAGUCGCUACCUGGGUGAAAUAUCAUCCUGAUGAAAAGCUUGGUUGCUUCAGGACUCAAUCAGCCUGAGUAAAUGCAGCAGUUUGUGUGGACUCAUCUAUGAGUGGGGGGCUUUAGAGGCUCCCUGUCAGCCAAUUUUACAGCUGGAAGGGCAAAGGCCUUUUGAGCUCCACUGGAGAACUGAGGAGCAUUCAGCGAAUGAGAGGGUUGGGCCAUGCAGUCCCACGGCUUCUCCCACCUUUUGUCCUGACUGAAAGGCUUUGCCGCCUGAAACGCUUCACUUGACAGCCCAGUGUUUGCUGUUGGACAACCUGAUUAAAGCAGGCGAGACACACACACACAUACACAGCCCUAAGCCUAUAUACAGUAUGACUUCCGCCACCUCCCAAGAUACUGUAUUUGCCCUUGUGGCUCGGGCGCUCUGAGAGAAUGCAGGCGCCCAUUGAUCUGUGCCUGAUAAAGCCCUUGGCAUGGUGUGCAAGGUGCCUUAUGUGCUUCAUUCCGCUCAGGCGAGUCCAUUUCAGAGAGAUGUGGCUGAGCUAAUGUGGGCCCCACUGCGCCAGUCACAGCCUUUGGGACUGGGCCUAAGUGCUGUGAGUCCUGACGCUUUGCUCUGAAAUUCUCUUGCGCGGCCAGAAGUGCAGCACUUUCACACGUCCUUUGGCAAUUCCUUCAAGCUCUUCCCACUGAACGUCUGGACAGGUAGUUAGGUAUAAGAAGGAAACAAUAGAUAAAUGACAUGGAAAUGUAUCAGCUGAAACUUUAGCGUCAGAAUAAAUGAGUGUUUGAAAGAUCUCCCAAGCUUAAUGGGGGAAAGGUAAACAACAAAGUAACAUGGGAUGUAGUAAAAGGUUAAACAAAACUCAGCGCUAGACAAUAGGGAGGUACCACCUGUCCAUCUAUACAAUCACCAUGUCUCUUUUAAAGAGUGCUUUGUGACUGCUGAGCACACACUUCUGUCUGAGACAUCUGACAGAUGCUCUUUGAGGUCUAUUGGCUUAGAUCCUGCUGCCUGUCACCUUUCACAUCUCGCUGGGCCCAGAGGUGACUCUGUUGCCAUUGAGCUCCAUACGUUAUCGGCCCUAACACAAUCGAAUGCACGUUCAGCAAAAGGAGGUCGAAGAGGAGGCAGGCACUGAGGCGCCCUCAUGCACAAAGAGGUCCAACCCCUGUGACCUCUAGCACCUGAACCAUGACCCUCAUUUACAAGCAGGUCCCCUCUGCAACAACUGCAUUUACACAGGGUCAGCUCAGAUCUCUGUUCUCCAAACGGCUCUAAAAAGCAGAGGGAUCAUAGUCAUAUAGUGUUCCCUGAGACCUGGGACAUUGGUGCACACCGGCAGCAUACGAGAGUAAGGUCAGGACCCCGGUCUAGCAGAAAAUACAGCACAUUAUUUGGACAACCCCACACAUACAGACACACUGCAGUAAAUCUAUACACAACUAUCAUCUCAGCCUAAUAGACAAUGCAUUGUCGCAAGCCUCUGAAGUAUUAGUUCAACAGUACUGCCGUAAGUGGGAAAAAUAAACUGUUUCUCAGGUUCUCACAAACUCUUCAAAUCAGAGACACAAGUUUUUCUUCUGGCCUUAAAAUGUGAUCAUUUUUAAUUUACAUCCAAAAUACUGUAUCCAGCAUAUGUAAACAUGAUAAACCAAAAUUAAUUUAUAAUCAUGUUACUCAAACUAAACAUAAUUUAUUUGAGAUUAUCAACUUGCAACAUUCCUUUUUUCUUUUCUUCUUCUUUUUCUUUUUAAGAAAUCGCAUCACAUAUUCUUUUGGACACACUGAAACGUCUGAAAUGUGAUGGCACAGAGGAGUUCAUUGUAGUUGAUUGUGCCUUCUUGGCAUACAGCUGUACUGAAACAGUGCCCUUAUUGCUGAGACAUCUCAAUAAAAGUGAAAAAGAGGUAUUUUUUGCUCUGACCUUCUGGCAAUACUAAAUGGUCCUAAUAGGGGUGACAUAAUGCACCAUUUUAUGGUUAAUCAAAUUCCCACAGAGGUCAAGAGUGGCAAAUCAAUCAGCCCUACAGCUGAAACUUGACAGAUGUUGGCAAAUGUUCAUCUGCUUCACAUUAAAUGGAUAUUGUCUUAAUAUGUCAAAUAUUUAAAAUUGUCAUUACAAUUUUCAUUACCACACCCUUACAGUGAAACUGAUUUCUGUGUUCCUGGAAUAUUAGUAUGACAUGACAUUAGAUGAAGAUCCAACACAAAGUAAAUGCUUUAUAACUGUAAUAUUAGCAAUAUAUUAAUUUUGUUCAGAGCACAUGCUGGGAUCUCUUGUAUGAAGACCAGUUAAAUUCCAGAAGCACAGACAUAAAUAUUCUUGCAACAUAUUGUUUCACCUUGUAUAUUUCAGCUGAACACACAGCACAUUCUACACCUGUCAACUGACAACUACACUCUCAUAAUACACUUAUAUGGAAAGAGAGAGUCGGAGAGAGAGACGGAGAAGGAAUGAGAAAGAGAUGCAGACAGAGCGAUUGAGUGAGUAGAGAGAGAGAGACAGAGACAGACCGAGUGAAUAGAGAGAAAGAGGCAGGCAGAGAUGGAGAGGUCACAGCGACCGUGUGAUGGUCGCUGACACGGGAGUUCAGCCGGCGGUCAGGGGAAGCGGUUGAAGAUGAAGGAGCCACACAGGCCAGGCUCUGUGUGCAGGUGCCCCCUCACUGCCCCGCGCGCUUUCAUCCCCCAUCCACUCCCACAUCGCCCCGCCAACCAUCCACCAAUCAGAGCACAGGGGGGGGCGGCGGCCCAGCGGGGCCACAUCAAAGCUGUCUCUCGGUGAGAGGCUCAGGGCUGAAGCUGGCACAACACAGAGGAGCACAGAAGAAAGCAGGGACGGCCAGUUAAAAAAAGGGAGUCCAAAUGGACCCUUUCUUGCAGAAGGGCACCACCAGAACAAAACAUUUCAUUCUCUUCACAAACCAGCAUUAUGCCAGCCUUGCACCCCAAAACCCAGACAUUUUUCUCACUGCCUUGAGCCAAUGGCCCCCUUGAGUGUGUGAACAAGAGGGCUAAUUUAAUAAAGAAAAUCCAAUCUUCCAGUUUGGGGGAACAAAGUUAGAUUUGAAUGAGUACAAUAUGUUCCCUUCAUAUUUUUUUUCAAAUUAUAAUUUCAUAGCUGAAAUCAAAGCAUUGGAGAGACUGCUAUUCAGUGGGGGUGUGGAGACUCAGACUCCGAAUUUCAUUUUCCCUUCAUAUCUAUUCAGACAUAGUAUUUCCAUAGAACAGAGACAACAAUAAUACAUACUUGGUAAUUGAAUGUGGCUUAGAACCAAACCAUGUUUCUUUAAGUGGGAAAAAAUGUAUCAAACAGAUCAUAAUGACAGAAAAUAAAUUCAUAUAACAAUACUUUGAAUAAAGUAAAACAAUUACUAAAACAAAAAAAAUGUUAAGUCACUGAAGUUCUUGUUGAUUAACAAUAAUGAGCGCAAACUCUGAUUAGCAGUGCACUUUAGAUACUUUAAAUGAAGAGGGUAAAAAAAAAAUACUAAAAUGUAUUGUAUUGUGAACAGUAUGUUCUAUGUUAGAACUGAUUAUGUGGAGGCCUCCCGAGUGGUGCAGUGGUCUAAGGCACUGCAUCGCAGUUGCUAACUGUGCCACUAGAGAUCCAGGCUCUAUCGCAGCCGGCUGUGACCAGGAGACC
rnacentral:lncRNA from 8 species